CCCAUGGCAACGUCAACAACAGGCCUCUGAGCCUUCUUUGCCAAAGGAUCCGGCAAGAUGGUCGACGCCGGGUCGGGUCUGGAGCUCCUGGAUGCAGCCUCCCUCAACCCCCAGCAGCAAGACCAGCUCCUGCAAUUCAAGAUAAACGCCAAGAUCGAGAACGAGAAAUACCUGCGUUCACACAAGGAAGUGGAGCUGCUGCUAUCAGGGUUUGUCAGGGAGGUCCUGUUGCAGAGACCAGAGAAUAUCCGGGAGUUUGCCGCCGGUAAGCAUUUAUUUUAAGCUCGCGUGCCAAGAAAUCCCAGCCUAAGUCCAACUGGCA